AUAAACGUUUGAAAGGGACACUCGCAGUUGUCAUAUACGUAAUAAAGCGAAUCAGGGGUGGUGGAAGCCUGACAUUACGAGAUGCUGCAAUGAGAUCACCCCUUUAGUUCCUUUUCUGAAAUGAUCAGUAAGAAAAGGCGUCUGAUCACGUUACGAUUUUAGAGUGGAUAAGCGGCAAUAGCGCUUGUCUAAAAGGGUGGUACCGCGAGACAAGCCUUCUCGUCCCUUAU
rnacentral:ncRNA from 1 species